rnacentral:rRNA from 1 species
GAUGAACGCUAGCGGCAGGCCUAACACAUGCAAGUCGAGGGGCAGCACGGUGUAGCAAUACACUGGUGGCGACCGGCGCACGGGUGCGUAACGCGUAUGCAACCUACCCAUAACAGGGGGAUAACACUGAGAAAUUGGUACUAAUACCCCAUAACAUCAGGACCGGCAUCGGUUCUGGUUGAAAACUCCGGUGGUUAUGGAUGGGCAUGCGUUGUAUUAGCUGGUUGGUGAGGUAACGGCUCACCAAGGCAACGAUACAUAGGGGGACUGAGAGGUUAACCCCCCACAUUGGUACUGAGACACGGACCAAACUCCUACGGGAGGCAGCAGUGAGGAAUAUUGGUCAAUGGACGCAAGUCUGAACCAGCCAUGCCGCGUGCAGGAAGACGGCUCUAUGAGUUGUAAACUGCUUUUGUACGAGGGUAAACGCUCUUACGCGUAAGAGCCUGAAAGUAUCGUACGAAUAAGGAUCGGCUAACUCCGUG